CGAAGGAGAGCUCGGCGGAGGAUUCAAUUGCCUGCCAAUGUUCAAGGAAUGGAUAGUGCAUGUCGGGCAGUUCGACGGUUCACCGUAUUUUGCCAUCAUCGCCAUUUACGGCCGGAACAAAGUAAAGGACUCUUGAUUGCAGUAGUCUUUUGCAACGCCUUGCAAUCACCUCCUAUCACCUUCACAUUUCACAUAAUCUCACACAGUAUAAUAAGCGCCGUCGCCAAAGAAGCUCAAGCAACAAAACAGCGAAAUAACGAAAUAAUGGAUUCACCUUCGACCAUUAUCUCUCUCAACACAAGCGCACAGACAAAUUCAUCAAAACUUUUCUCACAACGAAUGUCACAACAUGACAAUCAAACCGAAAGAUCCAUCACAUCUGAUCGGAACAUGCAAGUUCGAGACCACAAAUGCACUGCAAUCUAACGCCUACGCACUGCUUGCCCCAAGGUCGUAUAUAGUAGCAAAAGCCCAGUGGGAGAGAGAUCGGGGUCUGCCAUGAUCCCUUUGACCGUUGGGGGCAUUAGCUGUGAUGCUAAGAUAGAAGUUUUUUGACCUAUUGUAGGCAGAGGUCGAUGGGAAAUAGAAUGGUCUGGACGAGGCGAGGAGUGUGGAUAGGUUGGUCAGACUAACAUACGAAACUGUGAAGGAUUUUCUCUGCCAACAAUAUAAAAGUAGGGUAUUCUAUAAUCGCUGUUGUUGUGUCCGUCACUCUCACAAUCUACAUUUUCCAGAACCAACCAUCUCACAAUCGGCAAAUAAUCAGCAUGACAGGAAACCCUACGAUGAUAUUCGCCAAGCAUCGAUCCUCCAUCUCUCCUCCCCUCUUGGUACUCCUUUUGCUUCUAGUCCUCGUCUUCAUGACAUUAUCAGCCGACGCGGCUCUUACCCCGGUAUACAUGCACUAUUACUGCAGACAGCAAUGCGAACAACGUUUCAAGAUGUGUGCUAUGAGUGCUAUCUCUGGCCCCAAGUUGGCAUCUUGCUAUUCCAUUCGCGGCGUCUGCUAUAUGCGGUGCUAGAAGCCAUCAGCACAAUAUCUCCACAUCUUGCCUUCACCCUUAUCAUACAAUUACCAUGUUCUUACCAACCACGACUGCACAUCUCAGCAUGUCACCAUCAGCUGUCAGCAAGAUUUCAUCCACUAACCAUAACAUUUCGAUUCACAUAUAGAGUAUAGAUCAACAUAGAUUAAAUAGACUUCCUGCUUCUUAAUAUCAGCCUUGUUAACAUCGACGGACAAUCUCCUCACCUACAAAUAAAGACAGUGAGACAUUCUCAGCAACAUCAUGAUAGUAUGUCUUAGUUAGCAAUAUUCAUCGAACAUUCGUCUAUCUCAGCACAUUGGGACAUUCUUCUAUCUCAGCACAUUAUACAAACCUUUUAAGUAUCUUUUGAUGAUGUAAUUUGGCGAUAAAGUAAUGAAUUAGAGAGUAUGUAUGGUCACUGACUUCGGUCGGUUACUUAUAUGUUCGGAGG
rnacentral:sRNA from 1 species